CAGGCAUGCCUGCAUGCAGACACGACACGACGACCAAGAUCACGACCAAUUGACGAGCGAGCUUGUCGAGAACAACUUAGCCGCUGCCGCCGAGCACGCUCUUGAGCUUCUUCACCGUCGCGUCGUCCAAGAAGGUGACCUUCUCCACGACGGCCGACGGGAGGUUGUUGGCGAAGAGCGCGAAGUCGGUGAUCUGCAGGCCGGGGUUAGGGCUGCUAAAGGCAACGAGCGCCACCGCGGGGCCAGAGCCGGCGUUGUACUGGUAGUGGAGCAAGCCCUGGGGGAACACCAUGAUGUCGCCCGCGUUCAGCGUCUUGGUGUAGGGGGUGUUCGACCCGGAGCUGAUGAAGCCGGCGGCGACGGUGCCCUGGGUGACGAAGAGGAGCUCGGAGCCGGCCGGGUGGGUGUGCAGCGGCACGACGCCGCCCACCUCCAUGUCGAGCCUGGCCGCGGAGAUGCCGAGGCCGUUGACGCCCGGGAACUGGCCGACGAAGGCCGGGGUCACGGCGGCCUUGAUGAGGGGGUUGAUUUUGCCCAUGCCAGCCAGGCCGUGGUAGUAGAAGUCAUUAGCGCUGACGCUAGACUUGCACGGGUAGCCGGCCGGCGUGUCGCUGCAGGACAGGUCAGCGACGCAGAAGUCCUGCGUCAGCGCGAGGGAGGCGAAGGGCAGGAGGAGGAAGGAGAGGAGCACGGGGAGCAGCACCAUCUUGGCCAUGGCAACGGCUUACUACACAGCUAGCUCGAGAUAGUUUGAUGUGUGGAUAUGUGUUGC
rnacentral:lncRNA from 1 species